rnacentral:rRNA from 1 species
CCUACGGGUGGCAGCAGUGGGGAAUAUUGCACAAUGGGGGAAACCCUGAUGCAGCGACGCCGCGUGAGUGAAGAAGGAUCUCGGUAUGUAAAGCUCUAUCAGCAGGGAAGAAAAUGACGGUACCUGACUAAGAAGCCCCGGCUAACUACGUGCAAGCAGCCGGGGUAAUACGUAGGGGGCAAGCGUUAUCCGGAUUUACUGGGGGUAAAGGGGGCGUAGGGGGGGCUGCAAGUCCGGAGUGAAAGCCCAUGGGUUAACCAUGGUACUGCUCUGGAAACUGUGGGGCUUGAGUGCGGGAGGGGCAGGCGGAAUGCCUAGUGUAGCGGUGAAAUGCGUAGAUAUUAGGAGGAACACCGGCGGCGAAGGCGGCCUGCUGGACCGUAACUGACGUUGAGGCUCGAAAGCGUGGGGAGCAAACAGGAUUAGAUACCCUUGUAGUC